rnacentral:lncRNA from 1 species
CUCGGCCUGAACCACUGAUGGAGCACCUGGGGAAAGGACCGGGUCAGCCCUGGGAGCACAGGUGGAGGCAAUUUACCUGUAUGACAGGAAGGGGCGGAGCCUGGCCCCUCUUAGACCUCAUUUGAGGGCUGACCGCAACUGCGGCAGGGUCUCUUUCUGGAAGUUCUUCUUUUGUGGAGUUUUUCUGUAAGCCUGGAUCUUCAGGGAUGGGUGCGUAGCGGAGGCUCUUGUGGCGCCGCGCCGCAGCUGGCAGGAGGUGAGACCCGGGUGGUGCCGGCAGCAGAGGACUGCUCACAAACAGUGGCCGAGGUGUGACCAAGAGCACUGCCCGGCAGAGCCCCUCUGCCUGCAGGGACCGACGGGCAGUGCUGCUACAGUGGCACAUCCUGGGGUGGG